GAAAAUAACUAUGAUUCCCUUAGUAACGGCGAGUGAACAGGGAAAAGCCCAAAUUUGUAAUCUGGCACUUUUUACAAGUGUCCGAGUUGUAAUUUGUAGAACUGUUAUCCGCGCUGGACCAUGUACAAGUCUGUUGAAAAGCAGCAUCAUUGAAGGUGAAAAUCCUGUAGAUGAUAUGGACUACCAGUGCAUUUGUGAUACGGUUUCUAAGAGUCGAGUUGUUUGGGAAUGCAGCUCAAAGUGGGUGGUAAAUUCCAUCUAAGGCUAAAUAUAAGUGAGAGACCGAUAGCAAACAAGUACCGUGAGGGAAAGAUGAAAAGAACUUUGAAAAUAGAGUUAACAGUACGUGAAAUUGCUGAAAGGGAAACGUUUGAAGUUAGUUUGUAUUCGUUGGAUCAGCUUCGCAAGGAGUGUAUUCUGAUGAUAAGCAAGUCAACAUCAAUCUAUGAGUGUCGGAGAAGGGUUUUGAGAAUGUAGCAAUUUUUAUUAAUUGUGUUAUAGCUUGAGACUUGGAUACGAUGCUUUGGAUUGAGGAACGCGUAGUAAGCUUUGAGCGGAUUCGAAAGGAUCUCCUUACUAUGGAUGUUGGUGAAAUAACUUUAAGCGACC
rnacentral:rRNA from 1 species